GACGAACGCUGGCGGCGUGCCUAAUACAUGCAAGUAGAACGCUGAAGAGAGGAGCUUGCUCUUCUUGGAUGAGUUGCGAACGGGUGAGUAACGCGUAGGUAACCUGCCUGGUAGCGGGGGAUAACUAUUGGAAACGAUAGCUAAUACCGCAUAAAAUGGAUUAUCGCAUGAUAAUCCAUUGAAAGGUGCAAAUGCAUCACUACCAGAUGGACCUGCGUUGUAUUAGCUAGUUGGUGGGGUAACGGCUCACCAAGGCGACGGUACAUAGCCGGCCUGAGAGGGUGGACGGGCAAACUGGGAAUGAGACACGGCCCAGACUUCUAAGGGAGGCAGCAGUAGGGAAUCUUCGGCAAUGGACGGAAGGCUGAACGAGCAACGCCGGGGGAGGGAAGAAGGGUCUCGGAUCGGAAAGCUCUGUUGUAAGAGAAGAAAGAGUGUGAGAGUGGAAAGUUCACACUGUGACGGUAUCUAACCAGAAAGGGACGGCUAACUACGUG
rnacentral:rRNA from 1 species